rnacentral:lncRNA from 1 species
UUGAGAGGAGGUUUCAGGACUUUUACCCAGUCCUUUAGUGGGGAUCUGUCCGGGACUGUGCAGUAUGAAUCUGCAACUGUAAAAGAUUGCCUCAGGAUGGAUAUCUACAGCCUGGAACUAUCAAGAUGGUAUCAGUCUGUCUCGAGUAAGACACAGACUCCCUGAAUCUGCACAAUACCUGCAUGCCUCCCAUGUCAUGCGUCACGCUUCCCUUUCUUUAAGCCCCUGUCCUCUGCCCAAAAUUUUGAACUGGUUUAUAGAGGUGUAAUCCAGCCAUUUCCCUACUGCUGAAUUUGAAAAAUAAAGUCACUUUCCUUUG